AGCAGCCGCGGUAAUUCCAGCUCCAAUAGCGUAUAUUAAAGUUGUUGCAGUUNAAAAGCUCGUAGUUGAAUUUCGGGAUUAGUACGUUGGUCGUGCCUUAGGUACGUACUGGUGUUACUGGUUCCUACCUUCUGACGAACCAUCAUGUCAUUAAUUUGGUGUGGCGGGGAAUCAGGACUGUUACUUUGAAAAAAUUAGAGUGUUUAAAGCAGGCUCGCGCUUGAAUACAUUAGCAUGGAAUAAUGAAAUAGGACGUUGACCCUAUUUUGUUGGUUUCUAGGAUUGACGUAAUGAUUAAUAGGGAUAGUUGGGGGCAUUAGUAUUCAAUUGUCAGAGGUGAAAUUCUUGGAUUUAUUGAAGACUAACUACUGCGAAAGCAUUUGCCAAGGAUGUUUUCAUUAAUCAAGAACGAAAGUUAGGGGAUCGAAGACGAUCAGAUACCGUCGUAGUCUUAACCAUAAACUAUGCCGACUAGGGAUCGNAGGNUGUUAAUUUUUUAAUGACUCA
rnacentral:rRNA from 1 species